rnacentral:tRNA from 1 species
GCUGAAGUGGUGGAAUUGGUAGACACGCUGUCUUGAGGGGGCAGUGCCCAGCGGGUGUGCGGGUUCGAAUCCCGCCUUCAGCA